rnacentral:rRNA from 1 species
GACGAACGCUGGCGGCGUGCUUAACACAUGCAAGUCGAACGGAAAGGCCCUGCUUUUGUGGGGCUCUCGAGUGGCGAACGGGUGAGUAACACGUGAGUAACCUGCCCUUGUCUUUGGGAUAACUUCAGGAAACUGGGGCUAAUACCGGAUAGGAGCUCCUGCUGCGUGUUGGGCGUAGGAAAGUUUCGGCGGUUGGGGAUGGACUCGCGGCUUAUCAGCUUGUUGGUGGGGUAGUGGCUUACCAAGGCUUUGACGGGUAGUCGGCCUGAGAGGGUGACCGGGCACAUUGUGACUGAGGUACGGCCCAGACGCCUACGGGAGGCAGCAGGGGGAAAUAUUGCACAAUGGGCUGAAGCCUGAUGCAGCAACGCCGCGUGCGAGAUGACGGCCUUCGGGUUGUAAACCGCUUUCGCCUGUGACGAAGCGUGAGUGACGGUAAUGGGUAAAGAAGCACCGGCUAACUACGUG